ensembl:lncRNA
GCGAUCCUGUUUCACGGGAAACGUGCGCGGCGUGGCGGAAGGGACUCCUCGCUCUGGGCUUUGGACGAUAAAAGCGCGUGUACGUGUGUGUUAAAGCCCACAGACACCGUAGCGACUUCUUGAUUCAUUCGGCAAAUACUGUGGAGCGCUGUGGCGUGCCAGGCUGUGCCAGGCUUAGACGACAGCCCUGAUCAGCGCCGACACCGCACCUGUCCUCGGGGAGCAUGCAGGGCACCGCUGCUCACCUCUAAAAAACACACCGCAUGUGAAUUUGCCGUAUUUUCUGGACUGUAAAAUGCUUUGUAUGCUAAGUCCAUAUAUCGAAUAGUUUUUCAGUGGUGGAGGAAGAAGCUACCUUAAAGUCAUAUAAUCACCAUAUAUGCGGGGAAAGGUCCUGGUCAAAAUCAAAGAAAGUUAGUAACAGCUGGCAGAGAGAGAAGGGAACACAGCUUGCAAAGAGAUGGCCUCUGCCUGUGGCCUGAAAUCUAAACUGACUUAAUUCCAUAAUUUGGAGCCUUUAUGGGUUGAAGUGCUAACUAUGACCUUAACAGAGAUGGAAGCCUGUAAAAAUAGCAGCUAAGAGGUGGUAGUCAUAGAUACUAUGGUUCUAAGCCUUUCUUAAACUCUUCUAAAGCAGACUGGGUGACCCAUCAGCAAAAACAGAUUAAGGUAGCACCUCCCCAGCAGAUUUAUUUCAGAUUGCAUCAAGGCAGGGCCGUUAAACUAAGGUGGGAAUGAUAUGGACAGAAUUCAGAGGCUAAUAGGUAAAAGACAAGAAUUUUCAGGCUUAAAAACCCUUUUGAGAGAAGAUCUUGGUCUGGUGCCUACUCAUACAUGGACUGCCUAGAAAAUACUAACAUGAGGAUGAAAAUGGAGCCUCAUGAUGAGAAUAAAGGAGAACGUGAUGUGGAAAAUAUGAAGAUGGAAUCCAUAAGCUAGGGAUGCUGGAGCAGAAAGAUAGAAGGAGUCUGGGUCAUUCGUAUCAUCUGGAAGCUGCUGCAGCAGUCCUAGACUGGCUACCCCUGGACGUCUUGUUAUGUCUGAAAAACCCCAAUUUGGUUAAAGUGUUUUCUGUUAUGUGUAGCUAAACAUGAUCUUGGCUAAUAUAGAAACUAUCAUAAAUUAUCUUCUAAAUGGUCUUCUUGUUUGCAGGCUCUAGCAGUUAGAUAGCAACAUGACUUAGUAUGUCAGACAUACAUGAGCUAUCACAAAGCAAUUCAUCAACCUCUAUAGCAUUUCCUGCCAAUUCCACAGAUAUACCAAAUUAUAGUAUUAAGAAACAUAUGUUGAUAAAGAAAAAUUAGAGAAGAGACAUAAGAAUACCCAUAGUUGAACCUCCUGAAGUCCCAUUUUAACAUUUUGCUAUAGAUAUGUUCUGUCUUAUAUUAUUCAAAUGUUUUUUCUAUUGUUAUAGCAUUACUGUAUAUUCAUAUUUUAGCUAACACUAUAUCACAAACAGCUUUCCAUGUUAACACAGUCUUUUAAACAAAUAGCUGUUUAAUGUUCCAAGUAACUAUAACAAAUUUUACUUACCUGGUUUCUUGUCAUUGAACUUGUCAAUUCACUUUUUUUUAAAUUGUUGAUUCACUGAGUAUCUACUACAUUCAAGUCACUGGAUUAAAUAUUGUAAGUGCCUAUACGUGAAUUCACAUGAAGCCACGUGAAUAAGUGGCUUCUCUUUGAAUGCUCUUCAAAACUACAAAAGACACAGACAUAUAAAUGCAACAUAUAUGGCUUAUGCCUGUGUACACUUUGUGGCCCUAGGCCAUUUAAUUCUUCUUAAAUAUGCUUAUAGGUUGAAGUAUGCUAAUUUCCUUUCCACAUGUUCUUUUUAUUGCUAAUUUCUGUGAUCUUUGUCUGCCAGAUUUGCCUUAGCCUGACUAAUCAGUUCAGUACAGUACUUCUAAUGAACAACUUUUUAAUGUAAAAGCCAAGACUACUUGCUUGAAAUUUCAAGUAACUCAAGACCUCCCGUUUUCAUCAACAGAGUAUGUGCUAUGAAGUAUCAGUAUCUGCUGCUUUCUGCUUUUGCAAUUACUACUAAUAGUUAAUUCCCCAACAUCCUUCUGGUGAAAAGACAAUCAUUUCUGGUUACCACACCAAGAAGGAAACUGAAUAACGUGACUCAGAGAGCACAGUGAAAGACCUGAGAUUUGGAAACAGAGGCCUUGGCUCUUAGCAAUGCUAUCCUGAGACUACAUGGAGAACACAGCCAACUCGCAUAAAUGGCAGACUGACAGUUCCUUAUCUAGGAGUGCUAAGUCCAAGCUAUAAUGUUUUCUGACUAUGUAAAUAAGGGCAACUCAUUCUUUAACUCAGUAGAAGUUCAUAUGUGCACAUAUCUGAUAUAUUCAAGGUGAAAGGAAAGUGAAACUGCUAUUAUCUAGGCAACUGAAUUACUAUUUUUAAACAUAAAUCCAUUCUUGAAAAUUCUGUCUUGAUGCUGUUACUAAUGAGCCAACUCCUGGACUUAUGUAAAGGCAGAGUUCCUAUUUCCCUGAGAGGGAGUUCUGCACUCUUGGGACUUUAGAACAAGGAAAGAUUGUUGGCUGAACUUUAUUAACCGCAAGUGGGUUUUAAUAUGAUUUUGUUGAGAGAAGAUUGGAAAAUGCUACUAGAGGAUAUGUCAGAGCAACUAAAGGAUCCAUGACAGCCAGGUGUGGUCUUUAAUCCCCUUCAGUUUGGACCUGGGAAGAAGGGAGUGGUGCUCCCCGCUGCUUACACCAAGUGAGAGAGGUACUUUAAGGAAACUACUUGAAGAGCUUCACAUGCGCCUUCUUGAGUUUGAAGAGUAUGAGAACUGAUCCUUUCAUUCAGGAGGCAUCUCCCUGGAGACUGAGUAGAUGGUAGGAGUCCCCUGGGGUGCUGUCAGCUCCACUCGCUGAACCUCUGGAGAAAGGCCAAAAUACUAGAUGGAUCCCUGUGGAAUGACGGUUGUCAUUACAGGCAGGUGAAUUCGCCAAUGCUAAAAGAGGACUCACUUGUGGGGAAAUUGUGAUUUUGUGUUUCUUGGGUAUGACAAGAAAAUGUUGACCACUCCAGACCUCAAGUAUAGGUCUAGAACAGAGGGCUUCUGACCUCAGGCUAACUAGAGUUUUAAGAAUAACACCUCGUGACGUCCCCUCCUUAGCCUGACUCCAGGGUUUCCUGAACUCUGGGGACCAACAUGUGGUGGUCCCCUGCAGCCUCUCCUGAGGGCUACCACUCUCAUCCUCUCCACACUAGGUAGCGUGGUCCACCCGGCUCUCCAGUCUGCACACCGGCACUAAGUCAAUGUUCUCAGAGUACUGCUUGGAUCACAUCCUUUUAGCCUUUUCUCAAAAACCUUCAGGGUUCCUUCUUACCAAGUUGAAGGAAGUGCCUCUUCAGAAUGGCCCCAGCGUGCUUCUGUGUCCUACUGGUCUCCUACUCGUCCGGGAUCCAGCCAAAAUCCUCUGCUUGCUCUCUCCGAAGGUGCUUUACCUUUCUGCCUCCAUGCUUUCGCUCCUGCUCUUCUCCCAAUACCCUCCUCAUCCUUCUCUGCCUCUAGAAAACCUACUUACCACUCAAGACCCAUCUCUAACACUACUUUCUCCAUCAAGGCUUUUGAAUGUGACCACCCUCCUUAAAAUCCUUUCACCAUUCAUGCUAUUUUUGUGGCAUCUGCCGGACUCUUUCCAUGUUGGGUUAUCCGUGUGCCUCUCUUAGUCUCUCCUCCCCCAUUAGACUGGUGCUUCAAGGGCAGAAGCUCCCUUUUCCUCUUGUUUGUAUCAUCUGAGGUCAGUAGCACAAGGCCUUGAACAUAACAGGCAGUCAACAAAUACUGAGUUGGAUUGCUUUUCAGACGAGACAAACAAGGAUUCUGAAAGAAAUCAGAAUGUGGGAAGAGCAACUUCUAAGCAAGUAUGCACAAAUGUUGGAAUGUGCUGCAAGGAAAAGCAGAGGGGCGGCCAAUGAGAUGGACACAGGCGUGGUCCGCAGCCAAUCACAUGGGCCUGGCAAUGAGGGAGGCACAGGCCUGGAGCCAGGGCUGCAAGGUCACCCUCCCACAUGUGGCCCUGCUGUCUGGAACAACCAGCCCAAGGGUACCCUAGACUGCAGAAGUUAGGGUGCCACACUUGAGACAGUUUGCUCUCCUGCUACAGGCUCUUCCAGGAGGCUUGGGGAGGCCCUCUCACUGGUCAUUUUUACGUGAUGGCUGCAUGAACAGAACAGCUGACCUCCUCCUCUCUCUUAAUUUGUGUGUCUG